CCUGGUAACCUCCAGAAAAUUGGUGUUUAGUGGGAAACACCCAUGUAUAACACAAGUCAAAAAGCAAUAUUGACAAAAUCUCAUAUAUCUAUUCCCCAUUGUCCCACGUACCUGGGUGGUCAGGCAACUAUGCUGACAAACGAUAUACAAUCUCCCCUCAUUUCUAUGGUAAAAAAAGAGCGUUGUAAGUCAAAGUAACUAUCACCUUUAGCAACAUAUAAUUGAUAAAUUAUAACUUUAAUUUCUUUUUGGUUCGUUCUAAAAAGAAUGAACUCAUUUUAAAUUUGGAAACAAUUUAGAUUAAUUUUUCAAUUCUACCCUUUAUGAGAAAUUUUUAUAACAACACAAAUACUCCGGACCCCUUUUUUGACUUGUUUAGGACCACAAAUUCAAAAAGUCUUCAUUUUUUUUUCUUAAACUUCGUACUAAGUCAAACAUGUUUACAUAAAUUGUAACGGAGGAAUUAUCACUUUUGCUGCCAAGUCUCUACAUAAUGUUGGACCUUUUUGCAACUAAGUUCAGAUAGUUCCCUAAAAUAUUGAAAUAAGUGUGUUAUUUUGUGGCUUAUUGAAUUAUUUUCUUGUAUCUUUAGAAAACUCAUAAUCCCUAUAGGUUUAGGAAAAUCCAUUGUCCUAAUAGAUUUGGAAAAGGAAAACCUAUAGUUCUUGUCACAUUGAAAACUUUUCUCUUAUAGGUUUGAGACUAUUUGGGAUCAAUAUAUAAGAGUUGUAGUUAAGGAUUCUAUAUAUUGUAUUGUGUUUUUCUUCUCAUUCAUAGUGGAAAACUCUCUCUGUAUCUGCCCCGAAGAUUAGGUUUAGCCGAACCUCGUUAAAUCAUUGUGUUGAUUUUCCUUCUCUAUUUUCUUUGUGUGUGAUUGUGUGCUAGUUAACCCACGAUCUUCCGCAUCAAUUGGUAUCAGAGCAAGGUUCGAGUUUCUACAUAUAAUCUAGGGUUAAGAUGUCUUCAUUAUCUUCAACAAAAUACGAAGAAGAGAAAUUUGACGGGGGUUGUAGUUUUAGUCUAUGGAAAAUUAGGAUGAAAUCGUACCUGAUGUUACAAGGGUUAUAGAAGGCAAUUGAUGAGGAUUUUCUGAACAGACGACAGAGACAAAGAAGACAAACAUGAAGGAGAGGGCUUUGAGUGCGAUUUUCAUGAGCGUUACAGAUAGCGUUCUUCAGGAAAUUGCUGAAGAAACUUUUGCAGCAAUAGCAAGGAAGAAGCUGGAAGAUCUAUAAUUUAUGAAAUCGCUAACAAACCGUCUCUACUUUAAAAAGAGGUUAUAAAAUCUUCGUAUGAACGAAGGUACCCCUGUUAAAACUCACCUUGAUGAGUUUAAUUCAAUUAUAAUGGACCUGAAGAACGUGGAUAUCAAAAUUGAAAGUGAGAAUCAUGCCUUAAUUGUGUUAUGUUCUUUACCAUCGUCUUAUGAUACUUUUGUUGAUACGCUGCUAUAUGGGAAACACAACAUUUCACUAGAAGAUGUUAGUAAUGCACUAAAAUCUAAAGAGUUAAAAAAAGACUUUAACAGGAAAAACUUAACCGCCUAAUCAAAGUCUAGAGCAAGGAAGCAAAACUAUUAUGAGUACGAAGAGCAAGGACACUACAAGAGAGAUUGUCCUAAGUUGAAGGAGAAAAGAGUGAAGCAUAAAAUAGAUAAUUCAGAAUAUAUUGUUGACAUUGACAAUAAUUUUGAUGAUAGUGACUAUGUAAGGGAUGUAUGUGUUGUGAGUUCUAGUCAUGGGCAGAAUUCUUGGGUUCUUGAUUCUAGUGCUACUUUUCACUUGUGUCCACACAAGAAUUGGUUUACAACUUACAAGCAAAUGAGUGAGACUGUCUACAUGGAAGAUGAUAAUCCAUUACCGAUAGAGGGGAUUGGUCAUAGUAAAUUGAGAGUGUUCGAUGGAAUUAUCAGAAUCAUUGAGUGUUGGCAUGUUCCUUGGAUAAAGAUAAAUUGAUUUCUCUUUGGACUUUGGAUGAUCAAUAGUAUAAAUUUUACUCUGAGAAUGGAAUACUUAAAGUGUGUAAAGGCUCCAUGGUACUCAUGAAGGGUAAACUGCAUUAUAAAUUAUAUCAUCUCCAGGCCAGUGUAGUUGAAGGAAAAACUGCUGUAGCUUCUGGGAAUAGUGAUAUGAAUCAGUCUCAGUUAUGGCACUUGCGACUUGGUUAUAUGAGUGAGAAGGGAUUGUCUUUGUUGAGUAAUCAGAAUUUGCUAAAUGGGUACAAAAAUCAAAUUUUGAAUUUUUGUGAGCAUUGUUUCUUUGAUAAACAGACAAGAGUAAAAUUCAGCAAGAAGGUCGAGCACAAGACCAGAGACAAGUUAGAUUAUAUACAUUCAGACUUGUGGGGUCUAAACAGAGUUCCCUCCAAGAGUGGUGCUAGGUAUUUUAUGACUUUGAUUGAUGAUUACUCAAGGAUAGUGUGGGUGUAUUUUCUGAAAACAAAGAUGAGGCAUUUCCGACAUUUGUUAAAUAAAAGACGAUGGUUGAGAGACAGAUGGAAAGAAAAGUUAAGCGUCUUCGAACUGACAAUGGGUUAGAAAUUUGCAAUUCUGAGUUCGAUAAUUUCUGCAGUAGAGAGGGCAUAGUGAGUCAUCGCACUUUUGUUGGAACACCACAACAAAAUGGUAUUGCAGAACGUAUUGACAUAAUACUUUGUGAUAGGGCACAGAGCAUGCUUUCACACUCAUGUGUUAGCAAAGAAUUUUGGGCUGAAGCAAUCAACACAGCUUGUUAUUUGGUCAACAGAUCUCCAUCCACAGUUAUUGAGUUCAAAACUCCUUUUGAGGUAUGAUCCGAUUUGCCUGCUGAUUAUUCAAAUUUAAGGAUAUUUGGUUGUCCUGCUUAUGCUCAUGUGAGGGAUGGAAAAUUUGAGUCGAGGGUAAAUAAAUGCAUAUUUCUAGGGUAUGCAACUGGAGUGAAAGGUUAUAGGUUGUGGUGCACAGAUCAAAAGACUCCAGGGCUAAUUAUCAGUAGGGAUGUAACAUUCAAUGAAUCUGCCUCCCUGGACAGUCAGAGGGAGAAGGCAAUAGCGAAAACAGAUCAUGGUAUCAGUGACCGCAUAGAGCUAGAAAUUGAAUCUCCACUAGCUCAGCCCAGCAGUUCUAAGGUAGAGGAAGUGGAUGAGGUGCAAAUUAUUGAUCAAGAUGAUAUUUUUGAUGCACCUGCGCAACAGAAUCCAUAUAGAAUUUCAACAGGCAGAGAGAAGAGAGUGAUCAAUCAACCACAAAGGUUUACAAAUAUAGUUGAUGGGAAUCUUCUUGGAAAUACAAAUCUUGUGGGAUUUGCUUUGCCAGUUACAGAGACCAUUGAUGCGUUUGAGUCUUACAGCUAUCCAGAAGCUAUUUAGAGUACAAAACCAAAUCGACGAAUUAGUAAUAUGGCUAAAGAUAUUGAGUCUCAUAAUAAGUUUAGGCAUUGCCUAGACUUGGUUGAUGUGUGCAAUAAUUGGUAGAGCCCUCGUGAGGGCUGAAGGCAAGGUAGAGAGAUGUUGUUCCUGUUAAUGAAGAGAAUUCAAGCCAAGGGGAAGAUUUGUUAUUUUGUGGCUCGAAUUAUUUUCUUGUAUUUGUAGGAAACCCAUAAUCCCUAUAGGUUUAGGAAAAUCCAUUGUCCUAAAAGUUUUGGGAAAGGAAAACCUAUAGUCCUUGUCAAGUUGGGAAACAUUUCUCUUAUAGGUUUGAGACUAUUUGGGAUGUAUAUAUAGGGGUUAUAGUUGGGGAUUCUAUAGAUUGUAUUGUGCUUUUUUUCUCAUUCAUAGUGGAAAACUCUCUCUGCUUUUGCCCCGACGAUUAGACUUAGCCGAACCUCGUUCAAUCCUUGUGUUGAGUUUUCUUCUCUAUUUUCUUUGUGUGUGAUGGUGUGCUUAGUUAACUCACGAUCUUCCGCAAGAGAAUGAUUAUUGUUAAAUAAGUACACCUUUAAGGUACGUGGGACCGGGACAGGAAAAUAAGGGUUGAUCACAAAUACUAUUAAGGAGAUUCAAAAUAAUGCAAGAAUACUACAUAUGUGAUACAAUUCUACCAUUUAAAAUAAUUUUUCAACUGAACCUCCUUUGAGCCAUGUAGCUCCGCGUGGCAAAUGGAUGAAUAUUUUUUUUAUCUAGAUUUGAAUCAAAGAGCCACAAACACACGCUAUGAUUAAUUAUGCUUUAAGGGGUUAGUCCCUAUAAAGCAAGGAGAACUAAGCAUCACCAAGUCUCUUCAACAACAAAACCACUGCUCCUUAGCUUGCUUCAUAUUAUGUCAACAAUGAAACAUUCCAAAGCUUUUUCAUCACUGAGAACAAUUUGGUCCUUUUGGUUCCUUCUAGUAAUAUUGUCUAAUAAAGUAAAGUCCCAAGAACCAAAUGUGAUUCCACCAGCUGCAGGUUUACUUUGCAUAAGUGAUUGUGCUACAUGUCCUGUUAUUUGUUCAUCACCACCUUCACCAUUGGACUUCAAGCCACCACCAUCAUUACCACCACCACCACCACCACGGCCCCUCGUUCUCCAGUCAUCGCCACCGGAGUCGCAUUGUUCUGACGCAUCACCACCACCUUCACCGUCUAACAUUUUGUCGGUUGGUGCUACUACUACUCCGCCACCUCCUCCUUCUAAUUACUCCAACAUUCCAGCAACUCAGGCGCCACCAGCUAAGGGACAGAAGAAUUACACUUAUCCUUACUACGACUUCUAUGUUAUUUCCAAAGCAGAUUCUCUUCAACUUCACAGCUCUAUUGUUCUUGCGUUUUUGGUGUUCUUCCAUUCUUGUUGGUGAAUGAUUUAGACAGGUUCUUGAAACUAAAUCAAAAUGGUUUCUUUGUUUUUGCAUUCUAGGAUACUAAAACAUUGUUUUCGAUUGAUACCAUUAACUGUAUUUACGACAUUUUCAUGAAUUCAUCUUCUAGUUUUAGUACCGGAUAAUGACACAGUUUUGUACAUUUUUUUUUCUCGACCUCUGUAUUGCCAGUCUUGAAUCCCCAUUUGAUUGAAAUUGGGUGAAUGAUUUUUUGCUCUGUGAACAUAAGUAACAUUUUUUUUCAUCACCUAGACAAAGCUUCAAGUUUGAGGCUCUAGCCUCUAACCCGUGACUUCUACGUUAUGCUCUUCUAGAUGAGAUUUCGCUGUGACUUGUGAAUGGCUCUGUUUGUACAAAUUAGUACAUUUAACCGUUUUAAGCAACGCGAGAGUCCAGGUAAUUGACAAAAUUCUCUGUUUUCUCAGCUCCAAAAUUGCCUAAGAUCAAAUUUAUGGUACAGGUCCUAAAGCAGGUAAAAUAGAAUUAUGAUACAAGAUGUGAGUCGUCGGAUUAAAUUUGUACCUGUAACCAUCUAUCAUUAGUUGGAGAUUAUGUCUCUCAUCACAAGAUCGCAUCCUUGAGACACUUGCCACUUUAGUACCGUGAAUUUUUUCAUCGUCAUUGCCAAGUCAAGGACAACCUCUUCCUCGCAUUCAUUUCCAAGUGAGAAUUCUUAUUUUCAAAACAAUCAGGAUUAGGGGUGGCAAAACUAAUCCAAAUAUAUUUUACCUGUCCAAUCCGCCCAAGUUUUAAUAGAUUUGGGCUAAAAUAGUUUUGAAAAUGGGCUGUUAUGAGCUAGCCCAAGUUAACCCAUAAAAAAUCAUCGGCCCAAAUUGACCCAUGUUGUAGAAAAUAUUUUUUAAUUUUUUCAUGUUUGGUUGGUUUAAAUGUUUGUCGUGGUGGCACAAGGUCUUUGCCGUGCGAGUGUGAUUAUAAGAGCACGAGGUCUUUCUGUGAGGGCACAAGGUCUUUGCCGUGCGAGUGUGAUUAUGUGAGCACGAGGUUUUUGUCAUGCGAAUAUGAUGGAUAUUGGCAUGAGGUCUUUGCCGUGCGGGCACGAGAUCUUUGCCGUACGAGUGUGAAUAUGUGGCACAAGGUCUCUGCCGUGCGGGCAUGAGUCCUUGUUCGUGCAACUGUGAUUAUACGUGGCAUGCGGUCUUUGCCGUGCGAGUGUGAUUGAUAUUGGCACGAGGUAUUUGUCGUGCGAGUGUGAUUGAUAUUGGCACGAAGUAUUUGUGGUGCGAGUGUGAUUGAUAUUGGCAUGAUGUAUUUGCUGUGCGAGUGUGAUUAAUAUUGUGGCACGAGGUCUUUGCCGUGCGAGUGUGACUGAUAAUGUGGGUACGAGGUGCCAUAUGUAUACCUUUCUAGUUGAUGGCUUGUUGGUAAGUUGAGCCUUUACUUGCAUUGAAUUAUUAUCACUAGUUCUGAUGAAAUUACUGUUAUUAUUUUUCUGCUAUAUUUUUUGUUUUCCCUCUUUGAUAUAUUGCAAAGGUUAUUUGACUAGUAAGUAUCACAUGACUUGAACCUCGUCACUCCUUCACCGAGGUUAGUCUUGAUACUUACUGGGUAUCGACUGUGGUGUACUCAUACUACACUUCUACACCUUAUGUACAAAUCUUGGAGCUUGAUGUGAUGAGAGUAUUCCCCUUAUUUAGGAUGAGAUGAUUGCUAGCUGAAUGUGAUAUCGACCCACACGACAUUCUGGUGAGACGGCUUAGCCGAUCGGGAUGAGAUCGGAUGCCAUGCCACGCACAUGGUGGUGUUCUGAUUGGAUGUCUCUGAUGAGACGGCUUAGCCGAUCGGGCCGAAAUCGGACUCCAUGCCAAAAAUACGGUGGUAUAUCGGUACUAAAGAUCUCCCAACCUAAAAUAUAAAAAUUUACUUGAAUUGCUCCUAACUUGAUGUUUUGGUAUUGUUUGAGGUUUCCAUUGAUUCUAUGGUUGUUCUUUCUUGUAUUAUUACUCGUUCUAUUGAGAGGGUGUUUAGUCAUACAUACUAGUACUAUUCCAUAUGUACUAACGUCCCUUUUUUCGGGUGCGCUGCAUCUUUAAUAGAUGCAGGUGGUUCCACAACAGGCGAAAUUGAUCAGUGAUAGUGGUACACCCUCUUCCCAGCAGACUUGGUGAGCCCCGCUUUAUUUCGGGUUCGUGUAUCUUUUGUUCUUGUGUAUUACAUUUUGAGGUAUAGCCGGGGCCUUAUUGUCGGCAUUAUCAUAACACUCUUUGUAUCUAUUAGAGGCUCUGUAGACAUAGUGUGGGUUGUAUAUUGGUGCUGGGAAAGUCAAAUUAGUUGUGUUGUGUUUGAAUCACUUGUUCCACUUCAAACUAUGAAAAUGUGUGUAUUUUGAGACUUUAAAAUAAAAUAACUAAUGGUAAUGAAUUGGUGUUAUAUACAUGAUCUUCUCUUUGUCUAAUUAACGAAAAUAUAUCUUCUCAUUAUUCAUGGGUGAGUUUGGGUAGAAGGCAAUAUAGCAGGCUUGUUCGGUCGGAUUAUCUCGGUUGAGCGCCAGUUGCGCUCCCCGAGGUCGGGGCGUGACAGAUCUUGAAGGAGAUUUUCACACGAUUUUAACUCCAUUUUAAUAUUAUAUCUUGUUACAUCAUGAAUUUCUACACAUAGAUUAUGUGAUUUGAAAGAUAAAUUUUGGGGGUUGCAAACUAUGGUUGGGAGUGAAAAUUGGAGAUUUGGCGGCCGAUUUGAGGUCAUAUUUGGAUAAAACUUUUAUAUUUCUACUCGUAUUAAAAUGGGUAACCCGGAUGAGGGAGUUUGGUCGGGUUCCUGGAUGUGGGUUCGGGUUGACCUUUUGGUUGACUUUGUGUAUUUUUAUAAAGACUGAAGCUUUAUUGUUUGGGGUUGUUUCCUUUGGCAAGAUUCGAGCCGAUCGGAGGUUUAUUCGCAUGUGAAGGCAUUUUUGGAGUAUUAACUUGGCUGGUUUGAGGUAAGUAUCUUGCCUAAACUUGGUUGAGGCACAAGCUGGCAGAGUUAUUGGUGUUGACUAUGUGCUAAGGGUGGCAUACAUGUGAGGGGUUGAGCCUAUGUGUGUGCACCAGGUUUUAUUCAUGCUCGGGGAUAGUUCUUGGGCUAUAUUAUGCCUUGUAUUGAAUAUCUGUGAUUCUUAUCAUCAUGCUUUACAUGUUGUAUGACUACGUGACUUCAUGAAUUAUGUUAGAGAUUAUGUAUAGGUUAAUCUCAUGUUCAAACAUGAAAAUUACUAUUUUGUGGCGUAUCCGCCAAAUCUGAGCUGUAAUUGUACACUUCGCACAUGCAUACAAUUUCUUAGUCCAUGAAUACUUGAUUUGACGUUUGUAGACUAUAUACAUGUUUUCUUGUAUAUUCUUUCUGUGUUGUGGACUGGUUGACAGCCCGCAAGUUCUCCGUGCGGGUUGAGUUGAUUGUGGCACGUGAGUUGUCCAUGCAGUUAUUAUGUAACGUGAGUUGUCCAUGCAGCAUGUGGAUAAGGGUCCACCCCCCGAGGGUCGUCCUCUCUUGUUUCUCCUUGAUGACGUACAUGCGAUUUUGGAAAGCUUAUCAUUGUUGGGACUUUGUAUAUCCUCUCUAUAUGGAAAUUCCUUGGGUGUAUACAUGAUCUCACUGCAUAUCUCCUCUAUAUGCUGGCCUCGUACUUGUACACAUAUCUCUUUAUGCAUAUCUUCUCUUAUGCCACUUAUAUUAAGGAAAUGAUACCCAAUACAUAUCUUCUCUCUAUGUAUCUCUCUAUGAGAUCUGACUUGCCUUUUUCGCAUAUAUUCUCUAUAUGCCUGAACUUUUAUCCUAUUUAAUGUUCGUGCAUAUCUUCUCUAUGUGCACCAUGAGUUUACAUGCAAUUGUACAUAGAUUCUGGUAUUAUUACUUCGUAUUCAUAUGUAUUCAUGACUUGUACAGAUUUUGUCACGUGUGUAUAAUUUAUGAUCCUUGUGACUUCCUCCCCGAGGUUAGUCAUGAUACUUACGGAGUACAUGGGGUCGGUUGUACUCAUACUAUACUCUGUACGUAAUUGUGCAGAUCCAGGUGUGGGAGCCAACUGAGUGUUUCUUCUGGAUUGCUGUUGAGUUGAUGUGAGACGAGGUAGAGUUGCACUCGGUCCGCAGUCCUUGGCGUCUCUUUCCAUUUUUAUUACUGUUAUUAUUGCUCAGACAUUAUUUUUACAUUAUCACACUUGUAUUCCUGUUGUAGAGGUCAUGACUUUAUAUUUCAAGUUCUGGGGGAUUUAUUGUAGCAGUGCAGUCUUAUUUAUAGUAUUCGGCUUUUCGACUAAUAUUAUUUUCAUAAUUUGUUAUCUCGUAUCAUUUUUGUAAUGCUUGGCUUGCCUAGCAAGUGAGAUAUGCGCCAUCACGACCGGAUGAUAAUUUUGGGUCAUGACAAGUUAGUAUCAGAGCCCUAGGUUCAUAGGUUCACUAGGUCAUGAGCAAGUUAGUAGAGUAUUGCGAAUCGGUACGAAAAUGCCUGUAAUUAUCUUUGAGAGCCUACCAGGCUGUUAGGAAGUUUUCUCUUUCUUUCAUGCCAUAUCUUGUGAAUUUGUUUAUUCUGAAGUUUGAAUCUGUGCUCUUCUAUUCUAUCACAGAUGGUGAGGAUAUGAUCUGCCAAAUCAGCUAAGCAGGCACAAGUGCCUCAAGUCAGGGACCUGAAGGGCCAGGGCUGAGGGAGAGGCCGAGGUGUGGCACGUUCCGUAGCUAGAGCCCUAGCUAGAUUAGCUGCUAUGGAGCCACAAGUUGCUCUAAUGCCUGCUCUUCAGGAACUUUGGCUCAGAUUAUGAGUAUGUAUUCGAGCUUGGCCUAAGCGGGGAUGAUACUAGUUGUAUUAGCUACCUCACAGGCCAGGGUAAGCACAAACUCCCCCCGCCCGUACACCAUAACAACUAGCUUAUGGUUAUCUAACACUAGGGGUUCUGCCGGUACAGUCGGUCAUUGCAGCAAAGACCAAGAUUAGACCAUCUUUGACUGUUGAGGAGAAAAAGAGGUUGGGGAGAUUUCAGAGACUUCAUCCUCCCCAAUUUAGUGGAGGAGAUUCUGAGGAUUCAAAGGGUUUCCUUGAUCAGUGCCAGCGGAUUCUACACACUUUGGGUCUUCUGGACUCAAAAGGAGUUGACUUCACUACUUUCCAGCUAUCAGGGCCAGCCUAUAGGUGGUGGUAGAGCUAUGAGUCAGGCAGGCUAGCUGGCUCAUCACCACUUACAUGGCAUCAAUUCUCAGUUCUCUUCUUAGAGAAGUUUAUUUCACAGACUGGCAUAGAGGAGUUUCUAGGAUGUUUGAGCAUCUACACUAGGAGGGUAGGACCGUGACUUAGUAUGAGAUGAGGUUCACGAAGUUGACACGCCAUGCAUGGUUCUUGAUCCCUACUGAGUGGGAGAGGGUUAAGAGGUUCAUUGAGGGCUUCAACUUUGGUAUCCAGUAUGGGAUGGCCCGGGAGGACGAAGCUGAUACUACUUUUCUUCAGGCUAUUGAGAUUUCGAGGCACUUGGAGUAGAUUCGCAAGCAAGAGAGAGAUGAGCGACACUCCAAGAGGGCAUGUGGUUCAAGUACUUUUAGUGGUGCCUCAUCUGGAGGCCAAUGACAUCACAGUAGAGGCCGUCCUUUCAGGACUGUUCAGUCAGCUCAGGAGGUUCAUUGUGGUUCUUCAAUCAGCCACCCAGUAUUAGAGAUGGAAGAAACAACAUAAGAUUCAUUAAAAGGUUCUUCAGUGCAUGCGCUUUAGGUUGAGGUACUUUUGGGUUUAGCAGUCUAUGUGGCUUGGUUGAUUUAGAGGGAUUCGGUCCUGAUGGAUUGGUUAUACACAAAUGGGUAUCACAGAGGUCAUGAUUACUUGGAUACUUCGUCGGAUACUUCUUUGUAUUAUAUAUGCUAUUGAGCUACACUUGUUAUGUGAUAAUUCUUUUGACUUAAAAACCUCAUCACCACUUCUCUGAGCGAUAUGGGUUGAGUUCCCGACACCAAAUCAAUUUAAAAAUCAAUAUCCCAAUCGGGUGGCAUUUCUAGUAGAUUUGUAGGAAUACAUCUGGAAACUCCCUCACUACUGGAGCAGACUCAACAGUAGGAGUAUUAGCACUAAUAUCUCUCACAAAGGCUAGACACGCCAAGCACCCCUUCUUAACCAUCAUUUUAGCCUUAAAAAACAACAUCACACUACCAGGAGUGUGACCAAGUGAACCCCUCCAAUCUAACCUUGGUAACACCUGCAUAGCUAACGUCAUAGUCUUAGCGUAACAAUCAAGACUAGCAUGAUACGAUGAUAAAUAAUCCAUCCCCAAAAUCACAUCAAAGUCAACCAUAUUAAGCAAAAGAAGAUCAACCUUAAUCUCAUUCACGUUUUGUUUACUUAGAACAUGCCAAAAGAAGCAAGAUUAGCUUGAAAUCAGGGCUUCAGAUAUUCCUAAGACUGUUUUCAAGACCCCUUACGGGCAUUAUGAGUUCUUGAUGAUGACAUUUGACUUGACUAAUACUCUAACAACAUUCAUGUAUUUGAUAAACAGUAUGUUCCAACCUUAUUUAGAUUUCAUCGUUAUUGUUUUUAUUGAUAAUAUAUUGGUGUAUUCCAGCAGUACAGAGGAGCACAAGCAACAUUUGAGGGUUGUACUAUAGAUUUUUGGGAGAAUGAGUUAUAUGGCAAUUUCUCUAAGUGUGCGUUCUGGAUGGAUUCAGUGGCGUUCUUGGGCCUUGUGGUAUCCAGUGAGGGGAUUAAGGUUGAUUCAAAGAAGAUUCAAGAAAUACUGAGUUGGCCCAGACCUUCUACCUCUACCGAUAUCCAGAGUUUCCUAGGGUUGGUUGGGUUAUCGCCAUUUUGUGGAGGGGUUUUAAUCCAUUGUAGGCCCAUCGACUAAAUUGAACCAAAAGGGUGCUCCAUUUAGGUGGUCCGACGAGUGUGAGGAGAGCUUUCAGAAGGUCAAGACGGCCUUGACUACAACUCCGGUUUUGGUUUUGCCUUUGAAAUUGGGAUCAUAUAUAGUUUAUUGUGAUGUUUCACGGAUUGGUCUUGGGUGUGUGUUGGUGUAGGCCGGUAGAGUGAUUGCCUAUGUGUCGCACCAGUUGAAGCCCCAUAAGAAGAACUAUCUAAUCCAUGAUUUGGAGUUGGCAGCUAUUAUGCAUGUGCUCAAGAUUUGAAGUCAUUAUCUUUAUGGCAUGUCUUGUGAGGUGUAUACAAAUCAUCAGAGUCUCCAACAUCUGUUUAAAUAGAGAGAUUUUAAUUUUAGGCAGCAAAUAUGGUUAGAGUUGUUGAAGGAUUAUGAUAUCACUAUUCUUUAUCAUAUGUGGAAGGCUAAUGUGGUAGCAGACACCUUUAGCAAAAAGGCGCAGAGUAUAGGAAGUUUAGCAUCCAUUCCUGCUGGGGAGAGUCCUUUAGCUAUGUAUGUUCAGGCGUUGGCCAAUAGAUUGGUGAUUGGAUAUUUCGGAGCCGAGUAGAGUCCUUGCUUGUGUUAUUUCAUAAUCAUCUUUGUUUGAGUGCAUUAAGGCUCGCCAAUAUGAUGAUCCUCACUUGCUUAUCCUUAAGGACACGGUGCAGCACAAUGGUGCUAAGGAGAUGACUAUUGGUAAAGAUUGUAUAUUGCAACUUUAGGGUUGCAUUUGUGUUCCUAAUGUUGAUGGCUUGAGAGAGUUAAUUCUCGAGGAGGGUCAUAGUUCGAAGUAUCCUAUUCAUCCAGGUGCUAGGAAGUUGUAUCGUGAUUUAAAGCAGCAUUAUUGGUGUAGAAGGAUGAAAAAAGGACAUUGUUGGGCAUGCUGCAUGCUGGGUUUAAUUGUCAGAAAGUACGAGCAUCAGAGACCGGGUAAUUUGCUUCAAAAAGUUAAUAUACCGGAGUGGAAGUGAGAGCGUAUCACUAUGGACUUCAUGGUGGGACUGCCACUGACUUUGAGGAAGUUUGAUGCCAUUUGGGUCAUUAUGGAUCGGUUGACCAAAUUAACACAUUUCAUUCCUGUCAUGACUUUCUACACUUCAGAGUAGUUGGCUAACAUUUACAUCCGAGAGAUUGUUCACUUGCAUGGUGUACCUGUCUCUAUAAUCUCGUAUCGCGACACUAAGUUUAUCUCGUAUUUUUGGAGACCUGUGCAGCGCGAGUUGGGCAUGCAUGUUGAGUUAAGUAUAAUAUUUAACCCUCAGACAUACGGGCUGUUCGAGCGGACUAUUGAGAUCUUGGAGGAUAUGUUGAGGGCCUGCAUUAUUGAUUUUGAAGGCUAGAAAGAUCAUUUUCUACCAUUAGUGGAGUUUGCAUAUAAUAAUAGCUGCUAGUCUAGUAUUGAAAUGGCUUAGCACGAAGCCUUUUAUGGGAGGUGAUGUCAUUCUCCGGUUGGUUGGUUUGAGCUUAAUGAGACUAGAUUAUUGGGCAAAUAUUUGGUUCGAGAUGCUUUGAAAAAAGUGAAGUUAAUUCCGGAGAGGCUCCACACCGCACGUUCCAGGCAGAAGAGUUAUGCUGAUAGGAAGGCUCAUGAUGUGGCCUUCAUAUGCGGCACUUAGUUUACCUCAUAUUUUUGGGGAGGUGGCUGUGCAGGUGCGGAGGUUGGGCAUGCUAAGNNNNNNNNNNNNNNNNNNNNNNNNNAGUUGGGCAUGCAAGUUGAGUUGAGUACAUCAUUUCCACUCCGUCCUGACAGACGGGCUGUUCGAGCGGACCAUUCAUAUCUUUGAGGAUAUGUUGAGGGCCUACAUUAUUGAUUUUAGAGGCCAGUGGGAUCGAGCUCUACCAUUAGAGGAGUUUGAAUAUAACAACAACUAUCAGUCUAGUAUCGAGAUGGCUUAGUAUGAGGCCUUAGGCUUUAUGUGGGAGGCGAUGUCAUUCUUCGAUUGAUUGGUUUAAGCCUAUGGAGACUAGAUUAUUUGGCAAAGAUUUAGUUCGAGAUGCUUUGGAAAAAGUAAAGAUGAUUCAGGAGAGGCUCCGCACAAUACAAGAAGAAGAGUUAUGCUGAUAGGAAGGCUCGUGAUGUGGCAUUCAUGGUGGGCGAAAAGGGCAAGUUGAAUCCUCGUUAUAUUGGCUUAUUUGAGGUCUUGGAGAAAGUUGGUGAGUUGGCUUACAUGCUUGCCUUGCCACCUAGCUAGUCGAGAGUUCAUAUGGUGUUCCAUGUUUUCAUGCUUUGGAAGUACUAUGAGGAUCUGUCACAUGUGUUGGAUUCAGCUCGGUGUAGUUGGACAAGGAUUUGACUUAUGAUAAGGAUCCAGUUGGCAUUUUGGAUAUGUAGGUUGGGAAGGUGAGAUUAAAAGACAUUACAUCAAUAAAGGUUCAGUGGAGGGGUCAACCAGUCAAGGAGGCGACUUAGGAGACAAAGCAUAACAUGCAGAGUAGAUAUCCUCACCUUUUUUGCAUUUUAGGUAUGGAUCUAAACUCGUUCAAGGAUGAACAUUUAUUUAAGAGGGGGAGAAUGUAGUGACCCAGCUAGUUGUUUUGUGUAUUUUAACCCCGUUCCCUAAUUUGAUGUUCCCCGUAUGUGUAUUUGAUAUUUUGGUGACUUGCGAGGAUGGUUGCUAUGAUUUCGAGAAGGUUUUGGAGUGAACUGAAAUACUUAGUUUCAUGGAUGGAAGUUUAAGUUAUAAGAGUUGACCAAGGUUUGACUUUUUUGAAAACGAUCUCGAAUUCAUGUUUUGAUAUUUUCAAUAGGUUUGUAUGGUUAUUUUUGACUUAGGCGUAUAUCCGGAUAUGGAUUUGGAGGUUCCUAUGUUGAUUAGUCUUGUGGUGUUUAGGCAUCAAGAUCGCGGGCUGGGGGGCGACGCUUGCGAAGGGUACCACUGGAUAGAAGUAUAAGUGAUGUAAUUUCGGGACAUAGACCAAUUAUUCCAUAUUUUGAGCUUUAGACUUGGAGAGGGUUAAUAUUUGAAGGGGAUUUUCACACAAGGCAAGAGUGUAAAUAAUUUCUACUCGAUUUUGAUAUUAUAUCGUGUUUACCCAUGAUUUUUACACAUCGAUUAUAUGAUUUGAAAGAUAAAUUUAGGGGUUCUGACUAUGAUUUUGGAGAGUGUAAUUGGAGAUUUGGGGGCCGAUUUGAGGACAGAUUUGGAUAAAACUUGUAUAUUUGGACUCGUAUUGGAAUGGGUAACAGGGAUUUGUGAGUUUGGUAGGGUUCUGGGAUGCGGACCUAGGGUGACAUUUUUGUUGACUUUGUUUAUUUGUAUAAAGAUUGAAGCUUUAUUGUUUGGAGUCAUUUUCGUUGGCUUUAUUUGAUGUUAUUGAGUUGUUUUUGUCUUGAUUCAAGCCGUUCGUAGGUCGAUUUGCGUGGGAAGGAAUUUUUAGAGUAUUGACAUCGCUAGUUUGAGGUAAGUAUCUUGUCUAAACUUGGUUGAGGCACUAGUUGCCGAAGUUAUUGAUGUUGUCUACAAGCUAAGUGUGGUGUACAUGCGAGGGGUUGAGCCCAUGUGUGCGCAUCGGGUUUUAUUCAUUCUCGGGGUAGUUCUUAGGCUAUAUUAUGCCAUCUAUUGAAUAUUUGUGAUUCUUACCACUAUGCUUUACAUGUUGUAUGACUACGACCUUAGAUCUUUGCUUGUUUCAUGGUAUGGACCAAAGCAAAGGUUCUGCUGCUUUCGACACCUACCCAAUUAACCAAAAGUAUAAUCGAUCGAGACUGAAGCUUCUAUAAUUGUAGAAUUCCAUUCAAAUAGAAAGCUUUUUGGCCAGUUCCAAGUCAGUCGUGAGCUGUAGGAAGAGAUAGUAGCGAACCAGAAGAAAUUCCCAUAGUUGCAUAAGGGGGACAUUGAAAACAUUCCAAUAGAUAGUAUGUAAUACUCUUAUCAAAAGAGCACAUUACUCUUUCUUAGUUUAGGGCAGAAACAUACUCAAGGAACGCUCACUUCGUGAAUCAUGUUCGAGAUUUUGUAUAGCUUAGUCACAUGUUCAAAUGUAAAAAUUGCUAUUUUGUGGCGUAUCCGCCUUAUCUGAGCUGUAAUUGUACACUUCGCACAUGCAUACACUUUAGCAUGUUAUUUUAUCAAUCCAGGAGUACUUGAUUUAAUGUUCAAUGACUAUAUACAUGUAUUCUUACAUAUGUUUUUUGUGCUUUAGACUAGUUUGGCAUGAUUUGAGUUAUUCGUGCGGGUUGAGUUGAUUCUGGCACGUGAGUUAUCCGUACGAUUCUCAUGGCACAUGAGUUAUCCGUGCAAUGUGUGGAUAAGGAUCUAUCCCCAUAGGGCCGUCCUCUCAUGUUUCUCCUUGAUGACGUACAAUGUUGAGGCUUUGUAUAUCUUCUCUAUAUGCAAAUUCUUUAGGUGUAUACAUGAUUUUACUACAUAUCUCUUCUAUAUACUAGCCCUAUACUUGUAUACAUGACUCUGUAUGCAUCUCUUCUCUAUAUGUCACUUCUAUUAAGAAAAUGAUAUACAAUACAUUUCUUCUUUUUACGUCUCUCUUUGUGUGAUCUGACUUGCCUUUUUCGCAUAUUUCCUCUAUAUGCUGAACGAUUAUCAUGUUUAAUGUUCGUGCAUAUCAUCUAUAUGUGCAACAUGAGUUUACUUGCAGUUGUAUCUAUAUUCUUGUAUUGUUACUGCCUAUUCGUAUGAAUUCAUGAAUUGUAUAGAUUUUAUCACAUGAGUAUCAUUGAUGUUUCUUACAACUUCCUUUCCGAGGUUAGUUCUGAUACUUAUGGAGUACAUGGGGUCGGUUGUACUCAUACUACACUCUACACUUAAUUGUGCAAAUCCAGACCAGGACUCAGUUGAGUGAUUUUUUUGAAUUGCUGUUGAGUUGACGAGAGACGAGGUAGAGCUGCACUUCGUUCAUAGACCUUGACGUCUCUUUCCAACUUAUAAGUUGGUAUUUUACCAACUUAUCUCUUCUUUAGUCUUAUAUUUUUGCUAUGUUUGAUUGAUAAAAUAGUGCAAUUAAUGUUGUUACUUCUAUUUUAGGUUUAUGAGAUUUAGAAGUGAUCGGCAAAGAAACCAAGUGAAAACAAGUCAAAAAGAAGUUAAAAUGAAGAAAAUUGGAGAAAGGCCCAGAUCUCGCAAAUGCAAACCAGGCUUCGCAAAUACGAAGUCAAGUGUGGUAGUCAAUGUUCACAAAUGUGAACUGAUGGAUUGCAAAUGGUACGUCUAGAGACAAAGGCAUAGAUCACCAUUGCGAAUGAAGGACCCCAAAUGCGAAGUCAACCAGAGAGUCAACAUUUGCAAAUGCGGACUCCAUCAUCACAAUUGCGAAUACAUGUGAAGGAGUCUAAGAUCUUAAAAGCGAAGUAUGCAUCGCAAAUGCGAUGGUCAACAGUAGAGUCUAGGUUCGAAAAUGCGAAGCUUUCUUUGCAAAUGCGAACCACGGUCUUCAGUUCAGGGCAGAGAUGUAAUUUCACAUUUCAUGGAUCCCAAACCAACAAAUACAGGACCUAUAGCUAAUUUAGGAAGAGAUAUUUGCAAUAUUUGGUAGAUUUUACAAGCUUUGGUGCUCAGGUUUCUUACACCACACAUGGGAGUUGAAGAUUUGAAGAUUUGAAGAUUUUGGAUGAGAUUUUCUUACCUUUUUUACUCAUUUCUUCAAUUCCUUGAUUUGUAUUGAAUAUAUAAGUGUGUAAUAUUUAUUUCAAUACUUAAAUCUCCUUUAUGGGAAUAUUCAUUAUUAAAGUUUGGAUAAAAACUCUUGUUAUGCUUAUGUAUUGGAUGAUUUUUAUUAAUUAUGAAGUGAGUUAUUGUUUAUUUAAUUAUUUUUGUUCUUUAAUAUUUCCAAAGGGAUUAGCUAACCCUAGGACUCACCCAUUAACAUCAAAUUAAAUGUUGGAAAAGGCAAACUUGGGGUUGGGAAAGAUUAAUUAACAAGAACUUGAGGCGUUAACCCUCACAUUAUAGAUUCUACCUAGGGAUAGAAUUGAACUAGUUGUAGCCACAUUCGGGUGCACUUAAUCCUCUUAAUUGUUUUAGAGAUAAUUCAAUUAGGAAGUCUUGUUAGUCUUCGGAAGAAGUUAAUAUAGGAUCAUUAUUCGAGGCUAAUUGACAUAAUUCGCUCAUAUUUAUAAAAUCGUGAAAUACAUUGGAUCGUUACUUGAGUAUAAUUUCCCUUUUAUCGAUGCUUGUAGCCAUUUAUCAUUUUACUCGCUUUCUAGGUUAGUUCACAUUAGUUAUAAAUAUUUUCUAAAAAAUACAUAUUAGUGUCUGGCUUAGCAUAAUAAGCGAUAAUUCUCUUACUUGCCUAAUCGCCUACAUACUGUUCCAUGUGGGAUUCGACCCCGACUCUUAGUUGGGUAUAUUAUAUUGCAUGCGACCUUAUCUACCUACUCUUUAAGGAGAGGAUUUGGACGUCAUCAAAAUUGGUGCCGUUGCCGGGGAACAAUUUGGCGCAUUUAAGUUGUUUGAGAAGUAAGAGUAUGUGCUUUGGUCCAAACUUGUGAAUAUUUAUAUAGUUACUUUUUCUUAUCUUUGCUUAUUUUCUUGUGUGUUGUUUUGUUUAUUCUCUUAGUUUUUGAAACUGGCAUCGCAUAAUGAAGAUUGGUCAGAUGGUAGUUGUUCAUACUUUGAUGAUCCUUGUCCUUAUUGUGGAGGACCACACUCAUGGAAAAAUUAUUUAAAUUCUCCCAUGGGCAGAUUACGCGCACAAUCUCAAACCUAUGAGUGAAGUAUAUGUGAUAGGUGUGGUGGUCAAAAUGGCCAUUUCGGAAAUUGUUCUUGUUUAUUCUAUCCUUCCCCUAACCCCCACUACGAUGAUUCUAUUUUUGGUCUUGACAUUUAUAGGGCUUUGAAAGUGGAAGAACAUGAUCAUGGGCAAAACGGAAAGUUCAAACUCAUGAUGAAGUGUCUACUUGAAGAUGGAAAUAAAGAGCAAAAAGCAUUCGAGGAGAUCUUGGAAAGUAGUCUAUAAAAUGGUUUGGAGCUUGAAUCAAGAAUUUAACAUCCGCCAACUAACUCCAUACUUGUUGGUGAUGCCGAGAAAAAAAUGGAAUUAGUGUCAACUGGCGUAAUUGAAAAGAUGGUUGAAAUUGACUCAGUUCGGGGGAAAAGAGGAUGUCAAAAUCCAAAAAAGUUGCAAGUUGAGAGGUUGUGAUCUUAUUCUAAGCAUUUUUCAACUUUGAAAUUUUAUGGUGAUAUGAGAAUUGAUCUAUGUGAAUCCAUGUGGAAGUGAAAAUAAUAAAUACAAGAGCCAUAGAUCAUGCAAUUUGAAAGUUCAAGAAGGCAAAAUGACAUUCCUCAAAAGAAAUCCGAGAAAUAAAAAUGAAGAAAUCGAUGUUUGGCUUGAACAUCUACAUACCCCCCCCCCCCCCGCCGCUCGUUGUCAUAAACUUGAGUCCAAGUUAGGUGCCCAAUUCACAUCCUCCAAGUGGAGAGAAAAUGUAGCGCUUGGUGGGAGGCAAUCCAUCAUUUUUUAAAUUUCUUAGUAAUUUUCAAUUUUUCAUUAUGUUUAUUUUAUUUUUCUUUUUAAUUUUUUUUGAUCAAUAUAUCAAGUUUUAGGAAGUUUAAAAAUGUUUGGGAGAACAAGUAGGGAGAUUGAGCAAUGAGAAAAAAUCAGGUCCAGGCCACAGUCACCGCAUUUGUGAACACAAGAUCGCAAUUGCAAGCUAUUGGCUUAUUGCAAAAUCGAAAAUUGAGUUGCAUUUGUGAUCUCUGCUAAUUUUUCAAUACUCGCAAUUGCGAGCACAUGGCCGCAAUUUCUACGUCAGGGGACUUAAAUGGGAAAUGUUCAACAACUUGAACAACAGUUCAAAGAAAUCUUUUGCUCUCAAGUGAAUGACUUUUGCCUUCCUCUUUCUCCCAACUCUCAAAUUCCUUCAUUUUUAAUCUUAUUUGCAAGCAUUAAAGGUAUGAAAGAUUAAUUUUUAUGCUCUUUAUGAUUUGUAAUUCAUCAUCAUCAUCAUCAUCAUCAUCAUCAUCAUCUUCUUCUUCUUCUUCUUCUUGAAAAUGGAAAAGUCUGCAUACCCAUAACUAAGCUAAAAUAGAGUGAUUUAGUCAUGUCUUCAAUAUGUUCGAUGAAAGAUCCAAAUGAAAUUCUUGACCAAAUCAGUAAAUUUUCUUUGAUUCAAAAUUAUCUAUGUGAUGUAUUGCAUGUUAUCGUGUCUAAAAGUUGAUGGGAAUCUAUAAAAGUACGACUUUGCUAAAAAAUUAUUUGGAGUUAAAAAUGUUCUAUGUUGAAAGGCUGUGGGGAACGACGGCAUCACGAUUGCGAUAACCUUUUCGUAUUUGUGACUUUUGGAUUUGCGAAGAGGAGAUUGCAAUUGCGAAUACCAACAUAUCUGGCAACCUUCGCCUUUUCGAAUAUGAAAUCACAAUUGUGACUACUGGAAAUUCUACAGCCUUCGCAUUUGUGAAGUAGAUCUCACAAUUGCAACCUCAGAGGCCUAACGUCUGCUAACCUGAAAAAAUUGAUUUUUUUUCUAAGGUUGGGUUUCAACUGUCCAAUCAUUUCCUUACCAUAUUUGACUCAUUUUGCAUUGUAUUUCAUACACAUAUCAAGUUUUCACUUAGAUACUUUGUUUGCAGGUACUAUAAGCUGAAAAUGAGCUCUAACUUCAUUGAAUCCGUGCAUUAAACACUUUGGAAAUUGAGGAGUAUUUUGAACAACACCGGUUCUUAUCACUGUAAUGCCAGCAACAAUACUAUGCCAAUUGGCUUCAAAGAAGUUUCUUAUAGAAAGCAAGAUGAAAUUGGAGAAGGUCUCCGAACUUCUACCCGAGUAUUAUCAAAGGCUUGAGGUUAUGGGAUAGACUUGUUUUGCCCCUCAACUUUGUAAUGCAAAUGAAUUGUGCUCCAGGCAAUUGGUUGGUCUCCAAAUUAUGCUCGGGGUAAGGAUGUGCCAUGGGAGGAUGAGAAGAAAGGCAUCACAUCCAAAGCAGUUUUUGCCGAGACAAAGAUAUUGAUGGCCAUCAUUUGCAGUCGCAUCUCUCCUACUAGGAAUAUAUGAAAUGUACCAAUAUUGAGAGAUGAUAUGAUCGCUUCCAUUCUUGAUGAUAUCAAUAUCAACAUUGGUCAGAUUUUCAUCAAUGAGCCGAGGGAGUAUCUGGUACAUGAGAUUCAAUCACUGAUAUUCCCAUCUCUUAUCAAUGAGUUGUACAAAUUUACAGGGGUUAAGGAGGAUCCUGAAGAAAAUUGGAUUGAUCUGGAGAAGCCUUUUGCUCCAUUGAAGAAAAGAGGAGAGGGUAGUGCCAUGAAAAGCAAAAACAGGAAAUUGGGAUCAUCUUCUCAGACUGACCUUGGUGGUCAACCAUAAUCUUCUACAGGAGGUUCUUUUGCUAUACUCACCGAAGAGAUUCAACAGGUUCGAGACUUAGUAUCGGGUAUUCUAAAGGGACUUGGUGAUACAUUUGAGGGACCCUCUACAUGCGUUUCAAAGAAAGAAUUUCAAAAAUAUCUUGAUGACCAGAAGAAGCAGGGGAUCACCUUAUGUACCUGGAGAAAUCAUACACUGAUUUUUCCACGGCACACUGCGCCUUGAGUACUUUCGAUGCCAAGCUGACAAUUUCCCACACUAGGAUGAGAAAAAGGGAGAAGAAGAGAGAUAAAUUCUUCACCCGAAUGUGGAAGGGUGUGAAGGGGCUAUUGAAGGUUCUAAAGCCUCAAGAGUCAGUACCAUCGACCGAGAUGGAAGCUGCUGAUGAUGCUCCAGUGCAGUGGCCCGAAGAAGACAAGGAGGCUGAGAAUAGGGAUGAUGAGUCUGAGAGUGACGAGAGCACUUGAUGUAAUAUUCAAGGAGAACCUUCGACCAUUUUACUCUAUUCUGUUUAGUUGCAUUGGAGACAUUGCAACAUUUGUAGUUGGGGAAGGCUUUUUGUACAACUGUCGAUAUGGGUAGAUUGAUAUUUUAUUUUCAUUGUUCAUUAUGUCUACGAUGUAUUAAUAUUUCAUGUUUACUAGCUUCUUAUCCUUAGUUUUUUUUGUGCCGCGGUUCGUUUUCCGAGGAUGCCAAUUUCUUUUGAAACGAGUAUUUUUAGGUAACUUUUUGUACAGACUUUUUUCGAUGACGGAUAGCUAGGCGACUUUCUUAAGGGAAUUAGUCUUCUAUUUUAGAUUUAGUUUUAGUUAAUUUAGUAGAUUAAGUAGUAUGAGUUGUGGUUUGUGCCUGUUAGCCAAUUUGUGGCUUGCUUGGUACCAACAUAAUUUAAACCUUGGCAUAUAAAUUCUUAAUCUUUGAAAUAAAAAAUGAUUGAAGUGAUAAUCCUUGUUGUGACUUUUAGGUUCUAUUUUUGUCUCUUUGAUUUAUUAAAUAAUCUUUUGAGGCUAUAUAUGAAUUUCUUUGAGUUUAUUGGUUUCAAUUGGAUUUUGAAUUUAUAUUUCACGAGUUUGCAUGUGCCAUGUGUGGUGAGAUUUUUUGUGAGUUCUUUUGCAUUAUUUGUAGUCUAGAACUAGCCCGGGAUAUGCUUCAAAGUGAAAUCCUAGACUAAAUUGGUUUGAAAAUGAUGUUAAGCCUUCCUUAGACCGUUCUUGUGCCUUAAAUUUCCUACCCGUCCAUAUUUUUCAUAGUUAACCCCUUUUGAGCCUUCAACCCUGUCUUUGACAACCAUGUUAUGCAAUUUACCAUGUUGUUAUUAUUGAUCUAUCUUUUGGCACCCUACCUACCUAAGUGCCUCAAAAGUGCAACCAUAGGCUAAAAACCUACAUUUGGGGGUGAUGGUUUAAAAAUAUAAUUGAGAGACAUUGUGAUGUGGUAAUUAAAAAGUGAAACCAUGGGCUAAAACCCUACACUCCUUGUUAGCUUGAAAAAGAUCCAAAAAAAAAGAAAGAAAAGAAAGAAGAGAAUGGAAGGAAGAAUAAAAGGUUGUGAAUAAAGGGAAGAUUAGGUGGUGGAAUGAAAAAUAAAGAAAAGGGUGAAAACAUUUUGUAGGAAGUGUGCUUAUUGUUGCAAAUUGUAAUGCUUGGAGUUUUUGAGUAACUCUUACCCAAAUUAUAUCCUACCUUGACCAAAAGCCUACAUUACAACCAUUUAAGUCAUACUAGAUUUUGAACUAAUUGUGUCUACAUUAGUGGAGAAAUACAUGAAGGGCAAGCCUAUGACACUACUUGUGUGCAUUUGAACAUAUAAGUGUGUGAGAGAAACUUAAUCCUUUCUAUUUGAUAUCUCAUUUAUGUUUUGAAUUGCAUUUAUAAGCAUGAGAUUCUCUCUUAAGUGGUGAAUGCACAUGAAAUUUGAGUUGUGAAUUUAAUCCAAUUUUUUAUUGGGAGGAAUGAACAAAAAGAAUUAUUUUGUGAUAAUAAGGAAAAUGUUGAAGCUUUAGUGUCAUGACUUGAUUGCUACUUUGAUCAACGUGUCGUUUGAGCACUUGAAAUGAAAUGAACUUUGUGAGAAGUUGUUGCUAAGUCAUUUGUCUUAAUUUUUGGUACCAAUCAAAGUCAUGUGUUUGCGCUUAAAGUAUUUAUUUUUGACUUGGUAUGAUGUUGGUGCGCUAUUGAGUUGAUUACUUGGAAGGAGAUUGUUUAUGAUUUAAUUUGCUUGUGGACAAGUAAUAGUUUAAGUUUGGGGGUUUAAUAAGUUGGUAUUUUAUGAACUUAUCUAUUCUUUAAUAUUAGAAUUUUGCUAUGUUGAUUGAUAAAAUAGUGUAUUUAAUGUCUUUUACUUCUAUGUUACAGGUUUAUGUGAUUUAGAAGUGAUCGGGAAAGAAACAAAGUGAAAACAAGUCAAAAAAGAGUUGAAAUAAAGGAAACUGGAGAAAAGCCCCAGAUUUGGCAAAUGCAUACUGGGCUCCACAAAUAUGAAGUCAACUAGAUAGUCAACGUUCGCAAAUACGAACUCCUUCUUCGCAAUUGUGAAUACAUGUGAAGAAGGCCUAGUUUGCAAAAGCAAAGUUUGUGUCGCAAAUGCAAUGAUCAAGGGUAGAGUCUAGGUUUGCAAAUGCGAACCUUUCUUCGCAAUUGCGAACCACGAGGUUCAGUUCAGGGUAGAGUUAAAAUUUCACAUUUUCUGGAUCCCAAACCCACAAAUACACGACCUAGCUCAUUUUGGAAGAGAUCUUUGUCAAUCUUUGGCAGAUUUUAAAGAGCUUUGGAGCUAGGGUUUCUUACACUAAACUUGGGAGUUGAAUAUUUGAAGACUUUCGAUGAGAUUUUCUUACUCUUUUAACUCAUUUUUCCAAUUUCUUGAUUUGUUUUGAAUAUCUAAGUGUGUAAUAUUCAUUCCAAUACUUAUAUCUUGUUUAUGGGAAUAUUCAUUAUUUUUAGUUUGAAUUAAAUCGUUUGUUAUGCUUGUGUGUUGAAUGAUUUUUAUUAGUUAUGAAGUGACUUAGUACUUUUUUUUAAUUAUUCUUGUUCUUUAAUGUUUCCAAAGGGAUUAGCUAACCCUGAGACUUACCCAUUAACUUAGAAUUAAAUCUUGGAAAAGGAAAAUUCAUGGUUGGGAAAGAUUUAUUAAUAAGAACAUGAGGCAUUAACCCUCACUUUAUAGAUUCUACCCAGAGAUAUGAUCGAACUACUUGUAGCCACAUUCAGGUACACUUAAUCCUCUUAAUUGUUUUAGGGAUAAUUCAAUUAGGUAGUCUUGUUAGUCUUCGGAAGAAUAUAAUAUAGAAUCAUUAUCCGAGGCUAAUUAACAUAACUCGCUCAUAUUAAUAAAAUCAUAAAAUACAUCGGAUCGUUACUUGAGUGUAAUUUCCCUUGUAUCCAUGCUUGUAGCCAUUGAUCAUUUUACUUGCUUUCUAGGUUAGUUAGCAUUUUUGCAUUAGUUAAAAAUAUUUUCUCAAAAAUACCUAUUAGUGUUUGGCUUAGCACAAUAAGCAAUAAUUCUCUUACUUGCCUAAUCACCUACAUACUGUUCCAUAUGGGAAUCGACCCCAAGUCAUAGUUAGGUAUAUUUUUUUGCAUGCGACUAUGUGAGCUUACUCUUUGAGGAGUGAAUUUGGACAUCAUCAACAGAGUCAGGAAUAAAGAGGUUUUGAGGUGUAACGGCUCGGCCGGUUAUUUUGAGUAUAUUAGCCCCGUUUCCCCCAUUAGAUGCUUUACAUAUGUGCAUUUGUGAUUAUGGGAAUUGCCGGGGUGGUUGGUUUGGUUAUCGGAGAGGUUUGGAUUGGAUAGGGACACUUAAUCCCAAGGUUGGAUGCUUAAGUUGUAAGAUGUACCAAAGUUUGACUUUUAUAUAGAUGACCCCAUAAUGAUAUUUUGGUAGUUCCAAUAGGUUCGUAUGGCGAUUUUAGACUUAGGCAUAUGUACGUAUUUGGAGGUUCCUAGAUUGUUUUGGCUUGAAUUGGCGAAAGUUAGAAAGUUGAAGGUUUAGAAGGAUGAUAGGUUUGAUCGAGGGUUGACUUUUACGAUAUCGGGUUUGGAAAGUGCUUUCGGGAGUUGGAAUAGGUCCGUUGUUCCAUUUGGGACUUGCAUGCAAAAUUUGAGGUCAUUCCGAGUUGUUUAGGCUUGUUUGGUGUAAGUUUUAAUUUUUAAAUUGGGAUUAGUUCCUUAGUCUUGAAUUGAUGUUCGAUCCUUGGUUUUGAUGUUGUUUGGAGAGAUUUGAGGCCUCGAGUAGGUCUGUAUUAUGUUUUGGCAUUGGUUGGUGUAAUUGGAUGGUGUCCCGGGGGGCCUCAGGUGUGUUUCAGAUGGGUUUCAGACCAUUUCACCAUGUUUCGGAAUGCUGAUUGCUGAGUUCUGGUUUCCUUCUUUGCAAUCGCCACAAGGCUGUCGCGUUCGUGGAAGGUUGGAGUGGGCUGGGCAGUCUCCCUUCUACACAUUCGCCGUGGGGCUCCACGUUCGCGAAGCAGCUGGGAGCUGGGAGGAGUUUGGCCUACACGUUGGCGAGUUCCAGGCCACAUUCGCAUAGGUUAAGGUAUGUUCUUCAUCGUGUUCGUGACAGUGCAGACGCGAAGGGUGAUUUUUGGCCUUCGCGAUCACGAUGAGGGUCCCGCGAAUGCAAUGAAUAUGCUUGGGAGAUUAUUUAAGUACUCUAUUUCGAGGAUUUUGGUUAUGUUAUCAUAUUUUGAGUUAUAGAGGUCAGAUUUGGGCGAUUUGGGAGGGGAUUUUCACGAUUUGGAUUGGGGUAAGUAUUUUUGACUCGGGUUUAUUCAUUAUUCAUGAUUCCAACCUUUAUUUUAGUGAUUAUUUGAUGAAUUUAAAUGAAGAAAUUGGGGAUUUUAGUAAAAUAAUUCUAAAGUAAGAAUUGGUUAUUUGAGGUCGUAUUUGGAUGAAACACAUAUAUUUGGACUUGUAUUGGAAUGGAUGUUCAGAAUUUAUGAGUUUUGUUGGGUUCCGGGGUGCACGCCCAGGGUUGACAUUUUGGUAUGGCUUUGCAUAAUUGAAUCGAGAUCUUAACUUUAUUGUUUGGGCUUGUUUCCAAUGGCUUCUAUAGAUGUUAUUAAGUUAUUUUGGAUAGAUUUGAGCCGUCCAUAGGUUGAUUUUUGCGGGAAGGGAUUCAUAGAGUAUUGAUUUGGCUUGCUUAAUAUCUUACAUAAAUUUGAUUAAGACAGUAGUUUCCUGAGUUAUUUAUGAUAGCUAUGUGCUGUGGGUGGUGCACAUAUGUUGUAAUGACCCGACCAGUCAUUUUGAGAAUUAGCGUUCUGUUCAAUGUCUUAAGGUCUUGAGUAGCUCUGUAUUGUGUAUUAUGACUUGCGUGUGUGGUUGAGUUCGGCCUUCGGAUGAUUCGGUAUUGAUUUAGAACGGCGAUUCUUGUUUUAGAAGUUUAACCGGUAAGAGUUGAUCAGAGUUUGAAUUUUGUGUAGAAGACUCCAAAAUAUUUUUUGGAUGAUUUCAAUAGCCGUGUAUGGUGAUUGUGGACUUAGGCAUGCGCACGGAUUUGGAUUUGGAGGUCCGUAGGUUAAGUUGAUGCAUUUCGGCGAAAAAUUGAAAGGUUGAAGGUUUGGAAAGUUGAGUGGUUUGAUCGGGAGUUGAAUUUGGUUGAUAUAAGUGUCAGAUUGCGAUUCUGAGAGUUAGAUUAGCUCCGUUAUGUCAUUUGGGACUUGCACGCAAAAUUUAAGGUUAUUUCGAUUUGAUUUGAUAUGUUUUGGUGCGAGUUGUAGAAGUUGAAAGUUCAUAAGUUCAUUAAGUUCGAUUCGUUGUUUUGACAUUGUUUGAUGAUAUUUGAGGCCUCAAGCAAGUCCAUGUUAUGUUAUGGAACUGGUUGGUAUGUUAAGACGGGGUCUCGGGGGCCCCAGGGCCCCCGGGUGUGUUUCGAAUUAGUUUCAGAUCAAUUGGAUCAUAUUGGGUGAGGCUGGUUUGGGUAGAGUUCUGGUGUGGUCGCACCUGCGGACCAGUGGGUGCAGGUACGAUGGUUGCAGGUGCGGAGAUGAAGGCGCAGAAGCGAGAUGGCUAGGAGCUGGUGUUUUGCCCAUCUACGAUGUCAUUCCCGCAGAUGCGGUUUCGGAGGAGCGAAUUGGUACGCGCAGGUGCAGAAAUGAAGGUGCAGAAGUGAGAUGGCUAGGAGCUGGUGUUUUGCACAUCUGCGAUGUCAUUCUCGUAGAUGUGGUUUCACAGGAGCGAGUUGGUACGCGCAGGUGCAGACGUGAGCUGGGUUGCAACUCUCCGGAGGUGCAGAGCAUUUGUUGCAAAAGCGAAUGCGCAAGUGUGCUUCUUGGUUCGUAGAAGCAACACAACAAGUGCGAUGGGUCUCUCGCAGGUGCAAUUCUUGGGCUGAUAAGUGAAGACCGCAGAUGAAGUGAAUUGCUCGCAAAAGUGAGAGCGCAGGUGCGCAUAUUUGUCCACAAAUACGGAAGUGCUGGGCAGAAUGUUAAAAGUCGAGGGUUUGAUUAUUUCAUCACUUUUUGAGUUAGAGGCCUCGGUUUUAGGUAAUUGUGGAGGGUUCUCACGUGUUUGAUUGGGAUAAGUGUUCUUUAUCCGAAAUUGAUUAUAUUUCAUGAUUUCAUAAAUUUUUUUAUCAUUAAAUUAGUGAAUUGAAUGAAAGAAAAUGGGAAUUUUUGUAAAAUCUUUCAAAAAUAAAAAAUCAGGGUUUGAAGAGCGAUUUGAUAUCAAAAUUUAAUAAUUUGGGUAUAGUUGGACUUAUAUCGGAGUGGGUGUUCGAACUUUGUGAAUUUUGUUGGGUUCCAAGAUGUGAGCCCUAGGUUGAAUUUUUAGUUUUAAUUAAAGAUUGAAACUUUAUUAUCCGAAAUUAUUUUCUAUGAGUUUUAUUUAUGUUAUGAAGUUAUUUUGGAUAGAUUUGAGUCGUCCAAAGGCUGUUUCACAUGAGAAGGUCAUUUUAGAGUAUCGGUCUAGCUUUCUUGAGGUAAGUAUCUUGUCUAACUUUGUGUGGGGGAACUACCCCUUAGGAUUUGAGCCGUUUGUGCUAUUUGUGUCAUGUGAAAGCCGUGUACGCAAGGUGACGAGUACACACUCAGGCUUAAAUGUUCAAAUUGACCGGUCUAGACUCUCAGUUAUCUUUUAUGUACUUAUUUGGAAUUUUUAUCAUGUGUUAUAUCUUUUAUUCGUCAUAUCUACUAUCACAUGCUUUAUUUGAAGAUGUCGUUACAUGUCACAUUCUUUACUUGCCGAGUUUGCUCUUAUAUGCUUUAUUUGGAGUUGUUACCACUUUUACCAUUACGUGAUUUCUUUUAUCGUUCAGUUGCUCUUCGUUGAGAUUUUCGUAACAUGAUAUCCCUUGUUGCCGGUUUAUCCUCAUGCCUUUAGACAAAGUACUAGCUCGUGUCAUCUCUUUCAUUGUUAUCUUAAUUUACACUUAAGAAUCCGGAAUUGCCAUUUCAUGGAGGUACUUUCACCAUUGAGUUUGUCCUUAAACUAUUAAUUAGAAUUGAAGUUAUUGAGAGUCAUUAGUCUAUUUUACUUGAAGGUGUGUUUAAAGGAGGUGUUGUUGCUUGUUGAGUUACUUUUCCGUUCAUGUUGUUGUUAUUGAGAUUCUAUAUACGUUGUGUUGAGCCGUCGGCUAUUUGUUGUGAAAUUAUUGAUAUCGUUGAAUCUUUUGAAAGGUUGUGCCCUACGGGCACUUGUGAUAUGAGUUGAUAUGCUGUGGUGUUGUGAUGAUAACAUGUGUGAAUUGUUGUGUGGUUUGAUUGUCGUUAUGCGGAGUAUAAGGGUGGCAUUACACCGUUGUUUUUAUGCAGAGUAUAAGGGUGACAUUUCACUAUUGUUUAUAUUCAGGGCAUAAAUGUGGCAUCUCAUUAUUGUUGAAUGUACGGAGUGAUACGAGUGGCUAUUAUGUUAUUGUCCCGACGGAGUGAUAAGGGUGGCUAUUGCACGGAGUGAUACACUUACGAGGGGCUAUCAGAGAGACAAGGGUGGCAAUGCCAGGGAUGAUGUGUGAUGGUUUGGAGACAUUGUGUAGGUGAUUUUCGUGUGAUGGCGUGAUUUUCCUUGUGUUUGUCAUACACCUUGCGUGUCUUAUUUCGUUGUUUCGAUGAUCUAUUCAAUGUCCUUGAUAUUACUUAUCGACUUGGGCUACAGUAGUACACUCGCACAAGCAUACACUGUAGCAUGCCACUUAUACCAGCUCAUGAGUACGAAACUUGGCAUUAAUCUAUCAUGCCCAUGUGUUCUUGUAAUAUAUGUUUCAAUGUUGUUAUUGUGAGUCUGUGAUCAUUUCGUGCAGAUUGUGAUUGUAAGCGUGUGACCAUGCCAGGCAGAUUGUGAUUGUAAGCCUAUGACCAUGCCGGGCGGAUUAUGAUUGUGAGCCUGUGACCAUUCUAGGCGGAUUGUGGUUGUGAGCCUGUGAUUAUGCCAAAGAGAUUGUGAUAUUGGCACGUGAGUUUUCCGUGUGAUUGUGAUUCAAGAUAUGGGCACGAGGUGCCAUAAGUACAUGAUGAUGGGUUGAGACCCUUGACUUGUGACUAUGAGAUGAGGUAUCACAUAGUGAUUUCGUUGUGAAUCGUGUGUUAGAACAACUUGAUUAAUUGAUUGUUCUCUGUGUUACUUAUUUGGGUCCAAUGAUACUCCACGAUAUUCUUGUUGCUUUACUGUUUAUAUCACAUGUUGAUUUUGUUGCCAUUUACUGAUUUCUUCCUUCCAUUAUUAGCUUUACACCUUUAUACUGCACAAGUUAUCUUGUCUAGUGAGUGUCUUGACUUGUACCUCGUCACUACUCCACCGAGGUUAGCCUUGAUACUUACUGAGUAUCGACUAUCGUGUACUCAUACUAUACUUCUGCANNNNNNNNNNNNNNNNNNNNNNNNNUAUUUUGUGCAGAUCCAGGUGCUGCGGAGUCUGUUGAUUAUUAGAUAGCGGAUUAGAUAUCACUUUGGAGACUUCAAUAUAUACCUGUCGUAGCGUUCGCAGGCCUCGAAGUCACCUUCGGAAGUUAUUUUAUACAGUUUAAUUCUAUUCUGGAACAGUUGUGCUUCGAGAUUUUCUUUAGUGAACUCAGUAGAGCUUGUGUUACAGUACUACCGGUUUUGGGAUUGUUGGCUUUGUGUAGAAAUUUCUGUUUCAUAUUUGAUAGUUGUUGGUUUAAUUUUGCCAUUUAUUUAGUAAGUGUUAGGCUCACCUAGUUUUAAAGUCUAUGUGCUAUCACGACAUCCUACAGAGGAAAAUCGGGGUUGUGGCAAGUUAGAAUCAGAGCUCUAGGUUAAUAGGUGCUACGAGUCAUAAGCUAGCUUAGUAGAGACUUGCGGAUCGGUACAGAGACGUCUGUACCUAUCUUCGAGAGGCUACAAAACUAUUAGGAAAAAUCUCCACUUCUUUCAUUCUUGUCAUGCAUAUUUGUUGAUUUCGAUGUUUGAGCCUUUGUAUCUCUAUUCUCUUACAUAUCUUGAGGACACGCGCUACCAAAUCAGCUAAGUAGACACUCGCGCCCCCUGCUAGAGUCGCAAGAGGCCGGGGCCGAGGUAGAGGCUGAGGAGAGGCAUGCGCAGAAGCUAGAGCACCUGUCAAAGCAACAAUUGAGUAGCCGCCCCUAGCUCCUUUUGGGGGACAUACACCAGAGGCGCAUGUUGUUUCCCCCAAACUUCAGGAGACUUUAGCACACUGAGCAUAUUUUUUACAUUGGCUCAGGCGGGAUUGAUAUCCGUUGUACCAGCUACUUCGCAGAUUGGGGGAAGAGCUCAGAUUCCCACCGCCCGUACUCUAGAGAAGCGGGCUUACAUUGGUUAGGUUUCGGGUAUGGUGCCGGUACAACCUGUUGGUCCGGUUCAGCCUGAGGUUAGGCCAAGGGCAUCGUAGGAGUAGUAGAAGAGGCUUGAGAGGUUCAAGAGUUAUAGUCCACCUACUUUCAAUGGAAUAACUACCGAGGAUGCACAUGGAUUUAUAGAGAAGUGUCACUGUAUUCUCCGCACCAUGGGUAUUGUGGAGGUGAGCGGAGUUGCUUUUACUAAAUUCCAGUUGUCGGGGGCAGCGUAUCAGUGGUGGCAGGUUUAUGAGGAGGGUAGACCAGCCGAUGCAGCACCACCCACUUAGGCUUAGUUUUGAGCGAUGUUCAUGAAUGAGUUUUUUCCCCAGACCCUCCGAGAAGCGUGGUGUGUAAAGUUUGAGCAACUGCAUCAUGGCACCAUGACGUUGUCAGAAUAUGCCAUUAAGUUCAAUGAGUUAUCCCGCCAUUCACCUACUUUGGUUCCUACAGUUAGAGAGCGGGUCUGCAGAAUCAUUGAGGGUCUCAGUUAUGAUCUUAGAUUCUGUAUGGCUUGGGAGUUGGAGACUGAUAAUCCAUUUUAGCAGAUGGUGGAGAUUGCUAGGAUGUUAUAGCGUAUUCGGGAUGAGGAGAGGAAUGCUAAGGGGACCAAGAGGUCUCGAGGUUCUUGAUGGUUAAGUGGAUUCUAGUCUUUAGCUAUGACUCUUCAUGGCUGAGUCUCGGGCAGUCGGUCAGCCCAGUCCGCACUUCAGACUACUCCUGAUGAUCCAGUUAGUUUUUUUAGUGCACCACCGGAACGGGGUUCCUACAUUGGUUAUUCUAAUUAUCCGACACAGACUCAAUACGAGCAUCCACGCCUGCAGANNNNNNNNNNNNNNNNNNNNNNNNNCUCCAUUGUAGUUGCUAUUCCACCCGCACAUCCAGUUAGGGGUAGAGGACAGACGGGUAUACAGUGUCUAAAUUUCCAACAAGUAAAGUAUGAACAUCAGAGGCCAGGUGGUUUGCUCCAGAGGCUAUAGAUUCCUGAAUAGAAGUGGGAGCGUAUCACUAUAAAUGUUGUUGUUGGUCUUCCACGAACUCAGAAGAAGUUCGACGCAGUUUGGGUCAUUGUGGACAGGUUGACCAAGUCAGCACAUUUCAUUCUAGUGGCAGUCACCUAUUAUUUUGAGCGGUUAGCUCUGAUCAAUAUUAGCGAGGUCGUUCGUAUUCACAUCGUGCCCAUGUCUAUCAAUCCUGAUAUAGGUACGCAGAUCACCUCACACUUUUUGAGGGCCAUACAACAUGAGUUAGGCAUGCGGGUUGAGUUGAGUACAACAUUUCAUUCCUAGACGGACGGGCAGUCCGAGCACACUAUUUAGAUAUUAGAGAAUAUGCUUCGCGCUUGUGUUAUGGAUUUUGGGGGUUCUUGGUAUCGAUUUUUGUGGAGUAUGCCUACAACAACAACUACCAUUUAGCUUUCAGAUGGCCCCUAUGAGGCAUUAUAUGGGAGACAAUUUUGUUCACUAGUUGGAUGGUUCGAGCCGGGAGAGGCUCGGUUAUUGGGUAUCGAUUUGGCUCAAGAUGCCUUAGAUAAGGUCAAAAUUAUUUUGGAUCGAUUUCAUACCACUCAGUCAAGGCAGAAGAGUUAUGCGGACUGUAGAGUUCGUGAUGUUGCAUUCAUAGUUAGAGAGAGGAUAUUGCUCCGGGUUUCACCCAUGUAGGGUGUGAUGAGGUUCGGAAAGAAGGGAAAGUUGAGCCCAAUUAUAUUAGACCCUUUGAGAUUCUUGAGAGAGUGGGUGAGAUGGCUUACAAGUUUGCACUGCCACCUAGUUAAUCAGCAGUCCAUUCGGUGUUCCAUGUGUCUAUGCUCUGGAAGUAUCACGAUGAUCCAUCCCAUGUGUUAGAUUUCAGCUUAGUCAAGCUGGACAAGGAUUUGACUUAUGAGGAGGAGCCGGUGGCUAUUCAAGCUUGGCAGGUCCAACAGUUGAGGUCUAAGAGUUAUCCUUCAGUUCGAGUACAGUGAAGAGGUCAGCUGAUCGAGGCAGCCACGUGGGAGUCCGAGUCGGGCAUGCAGAGUAGAUAUCCAUACAUUUUCACCAUCAAAGGUACCUUUCAAUGUCCGUUCGAGAACAAGCGUUUGUUAUAAAGGUGGAGAAUUUGAUGACCUAAUAGGUCAUGUAUAGUUUUACCCUUCAUUUCUGUGCUCCGAUACCUCAAAUAGCUCUAUUUAUCCUUCCUCGAUUUACGUGCACACUCCGUAUCUAUUUUCAAAAAAUGUUUAUGUGAAAAAUCUAUGAAAAAGUGAAAUUUAGCCUUAAAAACUCAUUUGAGUUGACUACUAUCAGCGCUUUGAAGGUCCCGGUGGGUCUGUGUCAUGAUUUGGGAUGGACAUAUGCCUGGAAUCGAAUUCGAAUGUCCCUAACUUGACUUAACGUAAUUUGUUGAAAACUAGAAGUUUAAAGGUUUAAAGAAUUUCUAAGGUUGACUUUAUUACUAUCAGGUUUAGAUUUUGAUUCUAGAACUUGAUAUAUGUUAAUUUCAGUAUUUAAGACUUAUCUGCAAAAUUUGGUGCAAAACGGAGUUGAUUUGACGUGAUUCGGAAGUCCGGCUGAAAAAUUGAAAUUUCUUAAGUUUCUUUAAAAAUUUCAUUUGUUUUGGUGUCCGAUUCAUAGUUUUGGGUGUUAUUUUGGUAUUUUGAUCGCACAAGUGAGUUUGUAUGAUGUUAUUACACUUAUGUGCAUGUUUGGUUUGUAGCCUGAGGGGAUCAGGUGAGUUUCAAAUAGGCUACAAAGUGAUUUUGGACUUAGAAGAAUAGCUGAUGCAUUUUUGUUUCUGGUGUUACCUGUAGAUCUCGCAAUUGCGAGGUCCGGCUCGCAAAUGCAUGCCUCACUUUUGCGAACAAUACUUCGCAUUUGCGAGCAUGGGUUGGUUGGGGUGGACUCGCAAUAACAAGGAAAAUAUGUGCAUUUGCGAACUUGCUGCUGCCGCUUUUGCGAAGGAAGAGUCGUAUUUGCGACUCAGUGUGCACUGGGCUACCUUCGCAUACGAGUGGCAUGGGUUCACAUUUGUGACUAGAACAUCGCAUUUGCGAUGACUGACCGUCUGAGAAGGGUUCGCAUUUGUGACCUCAUUCUCACAUUUGCAAUGUUUGUAAUUGAGAACAAGAUAUCGCAAUUGUGACAUCUGCAACUGGUAAAAGAGGGAAAAAAAGAGAUUUAGCUCAUUUCUUUAAAACUCUCAACCCUAAACACCCUAGAGGUGAUUUUCCAAAGAGAAUUUCUUCGUAAGUUCAUUGGUAAGAGACUUUUAAUAUACUUAUUUUCAAUUACGCAUUACAUUUCAUGAGAUUUCAACAUCCAAUCUAGGAUUUUCAUGGUAGAAAUUAGGGAUUUGCAUAGAAUUAGGGAUUUUUGUAAAUAUUUGAUUUAGACCUCGAAUUGAGGUCGGAUUUCGAAUUAAAUUACAUAACCAGGCUCGAGGGUGAAUGGGCAUUCGGGUUUUGGUCCUAUUUUUUAUUUUGACCAAGUGGGCCUGAGGUUGACCUUUUUAAAAAAUGAUGUAAAUUGAACCUCUUUCAUUCGUGGGUAGUUCCUAAAGCUUAUUUUGAAUCGUUUGGUCAAUAAUUUGCUAGAUUUUAUUGGUUUGGAGGCUUGUUUGAAAGGCAAGGCCGUGGUUGAGCUUUGAGUUGAUUGCAGAGUGAGGUAAGUGUUGGAUCUAACCUUGUUUUCAGGGAAUUAAGGAUCCCUGGACAACAUGUUAUGUGAAUUACGUGUGAAACGGCGUAUAUGCGAGGUGACGAGUGUAUAUGCGCCGUUAUAUUACUUGCUUCAUAUUUUUAUUGCUUUCUAGUAUAUCUUGUUUCAUGCCUUAAUUGCUACAUGCUUAUUUAAUUUCCACACCGUAAUUACUACUUGCCAUUUAGCAUUUCUUGUAUUAAAUUGUCCAUCCCCUCCAUAAUUCCAUGCUUAUUUGCUACUUGUCUCUAUUUGCUUCCCUUACAUAUCUAAUUUGUCUUAUGCCUUGUUUGCCUUAUAGUUUCAUAUUAAUUAUUGCCUUCAUUGAUGUAGUUUCACUUAUAUUAAUUGUUAAAUGGUAGAUACCGUUGAGUUGGUAAAGUUGAGACAUCUGAAUAGUUCGAGUCUCUUUGGUUAUCAUGUUAUUCUCUAUUGCUCGUACAUUUGUUCUCUUGAUGUAUGAUUUCUUGUAAAUCUUGGUUAUUGAGUUACUACUUUUAAUUUAAAUUAUUUGUGGAGCGGGUUGCACGCCGCAACAAAAAUUGAAAGGAAAUGAAUUGAACAGGCGCAAUAAGGACGAACUAUGAUAUUGACAGAUGACUAUAUUGUGGGGAUCGGGUUGCGUGCCACAACAGAUUGUUUAAAUUUUAUAUUGUGGGGUCUGGUUGCACGUCGUAACAUGUUGAUAAAUGUUAUAUUUGUUGGACGGUUGUUGAGGUGAGUUAUAUCACUUGUCAUUUGGGACUCUCUGUUAGUUGGUGUUGAGUUCGCUGAUAUAAAUUACCUACUUUACUUCUAUUUUUGUCUUUUAUGUUCUUAUUAUAUCUACAUCGUACAAGUUAAUAUAAGUGACCCGCCUUAGCAUCAUCACUAUUUCGCCGAGGUUAGGCUCGAUACUUAAAGAGUACAUAGGGUCGGUUGUACUCAUACUACACUCUGCACUUCUUGUGCAGAUACCGGAAUUGGUCCCAGCGGCGUUGCGUAGACUUGCUCGGAUCCAGCUAUUCAGAGGAGACUUGAGGUACAACUGCUCAGCGUCCGCAACCCUGAAGUCCUCUUAUACUUCUUUUAGUUGUUUAUUUUAUUCAGACAGUGAUGUUUAUUUCAGACCUUUAUAUGUACUAUCUUUGACGCUUAUGUAAUUGUGACACCAAUUCCGGGAUUUGUAUUUGGAUUUUGUCACUUAUUUAUUUAUUUACCUUGUUUCAGGCUAUUCAAUUUCUUUAUUGUUAUCGUAUUUGAAAUUUAUUAAAAAUGGUUAAUAACUAUAUCUAACAUCGGCUUGCCUAGCAAGUGAAAUGUUAGGCACCAUCACGGUCCCUAGGGUGAGAAUUCCGGGUCGUGACAAUGGAUCAUGCACAGAAUUUGAGGAUCAUGCUUCUUACUUUGAGGGAAAAGAAGCUAUAUGCUAAAUUCUCUAAGUGUGAGUCUUGGUUAGACUCGGUGGCAUUCUUGGGCCACUUGAUGUCCGGUGAGGAGAUUAAGGUGGAUCCGAACAAGAUUAAGGCAGUUCAUGUUGCCGAUCAAUUUUAACCCUCCCCUUCUAAAUUAAAUUUUUUACACUUAUUGAUCAAUAAUGAAUGUAGUGGAAUAUUUUUAAAAAUUGAUAACACCUAUUUUAUCAAAAUAUAAAUUAUAUACAACAACAUACUCAGUAUUAUCCCACAUCGUGGGGUCUGGGGAGGGUAGUGUGUACGCAGACCUUACCCCUACCUUGUGAGGAUGUAAUAUUAAUUCUAUAAUCAAUAAUAAUCUUGUCUUAAAUAUUUACAAAUUGUAUUACUUCUACUGUUUUAAUUAAUUAAAACUAGAUUUCCUAGUCUUAUAAACAAGUAUUACAAUUAUUUCAAUAAUCUUGUCUUAAACUUUAAUUAAUCAAAUAGUUACUUUUCAUAAUUAAAAAGAAAAGUACUACGAUUUUAAUUAUUUAAUACUAACUAAUUAUAGUAACUAAUAAUACAUUUGUUAAUUAUACUUUAUUAUAUUUUAUUAGAAUUAAUUAAGUCUAAUUAAUUUAAUUAGAAAAAGGGUUAAAACUUAAAAGUAGGCUAUAAUUGCAAUUGAUUACUUUAAUCCAGUGACCAUGGCUUAAAUUAAAUGCUAGCCCACUACCCAAAAUAUUAGCCCAAAAAGUACAGGCCCAACACGUUUUACCCGGUUUGGCAGCCCCAUUACCAUCCUAUUUGAUAUGCCAUCCGCUUUCAUCCAAUCACCACACGCCACGUCACCCUUCCAAAAACUCACAGAAGAAACACACGUCAUCUGGACAGUUGAUCUAAAUCAUCAACGGUUCACAGUCAAUCCCAACUUUUUCUUUAUUUUAAACAUUUCCGAUGUUUUAUCUCAACCGUUGGAUCCAAAUGAUCCAACGACCAUCAAUUUAUCCGUAUUAAACCUUUUUCCCCAUUUUUAAUCUCCAAAAAUCUAAAGUCGUUGAUCAAACUGAUCCAAUGGCUACCCUCCAGUCUCUCGUUAUAACUAAGAGACUAACCUAAACCCUAAUUAUUUCAUCCAGUACCGGCCGCCUCUCUUUCCCCUUCUUCUUUCUUUUCUCUCAUCUCACAUAUCCCAUCAAUCACUGACCCUUUUAUAAAUUCGUGCAUGGUCACUCAAAAUCGAACCAAGCAUUCAUCCUGUCCCUUCCAACAGUGAAUCUCGCCGUUGUUUUCUCAUUUUCUCACUUCAAUUUGAAUCCCAAACCCCGACACCCUAGACCAAUAAAUGAAAAUGUUAAAGUUUCAUGAUUUCAUUUCCUGCUGUUCAAAUCAACACAUGCAAGCUAUAAAUCCCCGAGGAUAUAGACUGCAUUAUCAUGACUCUUGAUCUAGAGGUCAAACGUAGUAACCUCAGGACAUGGGCUUGAUCGAUAGUCCUUCUGUCUUCAACGGUCAAUUUUCUUCAAGGUAAAAGCUCCACUCUGAUUUCCCCUCUAUUUUCCUUCUAUUUUCCCCUUUGUUAUUGUCAGCCUUUAAUAGUCACACCCCAUUAUCUCUUUGAGUUCGGCGAAAGCCUAAGGCUUCAUUGCCACUAUAAAUAGAGCCUUUAAUGUCUCACCAAACUCACAGACACACACUGAAGGAAGAAACUACCAAACCCUAAUAAAAUACUAUAUGUUAAAUUCUUUGAAUUCUUUCUCUAAUUUCUUUUCAUUCUUUCACUUCUGCCCGAGUUAAAUCACUGUGAGUUGAUUGUGAGAUUAAGCUCUUAAACGGCUAGUGAUUGUCUCUACUUGGUUUGCUACUUCGAAGAAGGUCAGUAAACACUCACCCCCUCUUUAUUCUUCAGUUAUUCAUGAAUUAUCAUGUAAUUCCUUGUCUGAUAUUAUCUCUAUUAGUUGCCCGCUAUUUCGCCCUUCAUGAUGUUCAUUAGUAAACAUGUGACUUUUCUGUUGUGUUCUACUCUUGUGUUAUUCUUGUUCUAGUUAAAGAUGCUUUCUUGAUAAUUAUGUUUAUCUAUGUGGUGUUGCUAAAUCAGUGUUUUAUGAUGGUUGUUGGAUUCUGUUUUUCAUGACUUAGCUAAUUGAAAUAAUUUUACAUUAUUGUUAUCCUUGUAGGCAGUCCUGUUGAUCCCUUAUGUUAGUUGAACUAAACCCUAUGUUGGUGGCUAUAUGUGGCCUACAUUAUGCUGAUUGAGUAACAACUAUACUUAUAUUGUCAUGCUGAUUAAGUUGAUUGAAUAAUGUUCUUAAACUUUUCCUAAUAUCCUAUUUAACUAGCUAAGAUCUUUAUACCUAUAUCAUUAUGUUGUCUUAAUCCUCAUGCCUAUAGUGUCAUGUUGAUUUGGUUUAGUACAUUAAAUGACUCUCAUUAAUGGUCUUGUUCUUGUUAUCCUAUUUAUAUGUUUGCUUAACUAGGUGACUCUAGUUGACAACUUGCUCAUGAUACUAUGUUGUUAUGCACAGUCAAGGUAGAAUGGCUCACGUGUGCUUGCCAUGAUAACUUGAAUAAAGGAAAUCAUGUGGUAAACUUUGUUGGCAUGAGUUACUUUAAAGUUCUAUAGUAAACAUGCUUGCUUGCCUAAAAUGGUAACUUGUUGUUUUUUCUUGUCCUGCCUUGGUCAAUUUUAAAAUGAAUGUCUUCUCUUAUUAUUUCAUGACCAUUUGGUAGUGCUGUCUAGAUGACCCUCAAUCAUGAACCUAAGUGGUGCUAGUUUUGAUAAUUUGAAAGUUUGAUGGACUGUGCAUUAUCAUUAGAUACCAUCCCUGCUACGUUUCUAUGAGAUUAGAGUUGACCUUUCUAUUUAUGUUAAUGUCUCUGUUGUCCUAGUUAAUUGGUAUCCCCCUUUGGAAUGGUGUGUAUGGCCAUUAGCACAUGUGCUUAAUGUAAUGAAGUUCUAACUAUGUGCAUACUUAGAAGAAUUGUUCUGAAAGCUGCUAGAAUGCUCUAUAACCUGCUCUAGUGAUUUGAACCUACUUGAGGAAUAUUCUAAAGUAUCAAACCUUUAGUGAAGUUAAUAAAUAAGUGUAUGUUUAUCUUUGUCAACUGCUAAAUGCUUUAAACUACUUAAUAUGACCUUUCUGAAGCUGAUUUUGUAAGUAGCAUAUUAAAGCUUACCUACAGGAGUACAUAGUCAGUCAUUUGUGUAUGAUGACCUUUCUUAAGUGUGAUUACUCGGUGAAUGACAUGCCAUAUGGAAUGACUAAGACUUAACAUUCAAACCUUCCAAGUUGUUAAUACUUUGGAAUUUCAUGUAUGUUUGGCAAUGAUCAUAGUUUAGAGCUCAGAUGUGUUAAUCAUUGGCUAUUAGUGACUUUGUAUUCCAGUGAUGACUUCAUUUUAUAUAAUAGUUGCCUGACGUGAACUAUUGAUGCCACUGUGUGAUUAAACCCCCCUUGAAUGUGUUAUGGAACUUUUUGUACCUUUGGUGGUGUGUCUUAUGUUGGCUGUAUAAAGCUGCUAUUUGGUUGAAAUGCCAUGUUGACGUCUGUUUGUGCUUAAACAUCCGAAGAAGAGCGAGGUUCAAUGCUUAAGGGUAUUUUAGUGUGAGCUAGACUUUAUGAUUAAGGAAUGCCUCUCCGGCACAAGAACUGCUCGGAGUCCAUGAGACUCUCAUGAAUUCUGAAGUAUCAGGGAUUCAUAGGGGAACCAUAUAAAUAAAUACGGUUUACUCUAAGCCCAUACUCAUUGACGUCGACUAAUCUUCAUAUGAUUAACCCAAUGAAAUUUGACUUUGCUAUAUUCUUUAGAUCCUGUUCUUAUUAAUUAUAACUUUAUCUUACUUCACCUUUUAUAUUUACAUAUGCUAAUUAUUCUUUUCUUCUUUUCUUUGUAUGAUCACUGGGUCCAUUGAGUUCAUCGAUAACUUAGGCCCAAAUUCAGGGAACUGGGCCGCUUCCUGAUCACUUGCUAAAAUAUGUUGCUGCUUUAAGUCAAUCUGGACCUGGAUGCUUUGUCAGCCCAAUAGAAGAGUCCAACCUUCCUUCGCUUUAUCUAAUUAAUUGCUGUUGAUUCUCGUUUUGCUCAUAUGCAUGUAUGUCUUUGAAAAAACUAAUGUUGUUAUAGGAUAUUCGUUGCUAUCUUGAUUAUUUAGGUAGAAUUUAGGAAAAUCAAAUCUAAUAUAGAAAAUGUAAUUGUUAAUUCAAAGGUUAAACAUUUCAAACAACCUUAACACUUUUGAAAUCUAAACGUUCUAGAAACUAAUUAUUUUGGCAACUAAUCUUUCUUUUGCAUAUCCUUUAACGAGUUUUGUUUUUGUUUUAGGCAUCAACUAAACCCGGAUGAAUUUAAAAGGAAACAGAACUUGAACAAGUCUAAACGGAAACAAAUCCUCCAAAAGGUCUUCAAAAUGAAUCAUAGGCAAUUGAACCGUUUCAAAACAAAAGAGGCAAACUAUGUUGUUUUAGAAAAAACCAAACACCCUUUGAAAAUAUAUGGAUUUUUUUGCCAAAAACAAC
rnacentral:lncRNA from 1 species